rnacentral:rRNA from 1 species
UACGUAGGGUGCAAGCGUUAAUCGGAAUUACUGGGCGUAAAGCGUGCGCAGGCGGUCGUGCAAGACAGAUGUGAAAUCCCCGGGCUCAACCUGGGAAUUGCAUUUGUGACUGCACGGCUAGAGUGUGUCAGAGGGGGGUAGAAUUCCACGUGUAGCAGUGAAAUGCGUAGAGAUGUGGAGGAAUACCGAUGGCGAAGGCAGCCCCCUGGGAUAACACUGACGCUCAUGCACGAAAGCGUGGGGAGCAAACAGG